ACACGACUACAUUAGAUACCCCCGUAGUCCUAGGCGUAAAUGAUGCGAGUUAAGUNUGGGGGCAUCUACGAGAUGGCCCUGUGCUGUAGGGUAGCCGUUAAACUCGCUGCCUGGGAGUACGGUCGCAAGGCUGAAACUUAAAGGAAUUGGCGGGGGAGCACCACAAGAGGUGGAGGCUGCGGUUCAAUUGGACUCAACGCCGGAAAACUCAUCGGGAGCGACAGCAGUAUGAUUGCCAGGUUGAUGACCUUGCUCGACAAGCUG
rnacentral:rRNA from 1 species